AAAACUACUAAGUGCUAAGACAAGAUAGGCUGUGUUUCUGUGGCUGAUUUGAAGAGGGAUAUGUACCUAAGAGUAAGAUUUUAUUUCCUUGCUUGACUGUUGUUAUUACAUCCAUGAAUUAAAAAUAAUAUUUCAAACACAGUUAUUAUUUAUAUAAUCCUACUACAUUGCUAUUUUCUAAAAGCAGAAAUGUUGCAUGAACAUGCACACACUUAUCCAUUUGAAAUUAACUUUAUUUUACCAGAAAAACAUUCAGAGAGGGUCAAUUCUUUAUAAAGGGUAAACCCCCAAAUUCUUACUAGUGGAUUAACAGCAGUAUUUAUAGACAUUAAGGUGCAGUUAUUCAAUAGUAUCCAGUUACCUAAUUCUAUUAAUCUCAGCAAGCACACAUUUACAUUUCUGGCAUAUAAAAUACUUCUGUAAAUCUUUCUCCUGAUUUAUAACUUAAAUAUGUAUUGUCACUUUCUACAUGUACAAUAUUUCUGAUUUUUCUUCUUUCUGUAUUUGGGAUUAUCACAUGCCUUCCCUUUGGGUUACAAGUAUGGAAGCAAAGAACAAAGAAUUGUUGAAGUGUCUUUGGAAGAAUGCCAGUGGCCUGGUGCUGCAGAGACUGGAGGAAAAUAAACCAAACCAACCAGUGGAAGGAUCAGAUACAGCCAGCCUGGGAGAAGUGGGGAGCAGAUCAGCACAGACAAAGCAUUGA
rnacentral:lncRNA from 1 species